UGAUCAUGGCUCAGAACGAACGCUGGCGGCAUGCCUAACACAUGCAAGUCGAACGAAGUCUUCGGACUUAGUGGCGCACGGGUGCGUAACGCGUGGGAAUCUGCCCUUGGGUACGGAAUAACUCAGAGAAAUUUGUGCUAAUACCGUAUAAUGACUUCGGUCCAAAGAUUUAUCGCCCAAGGAUGAGCCCGCGUAAGAUNAGCUAGUUGGUGGGGUAAAAGCNUACCAAGGCGACGAUCUUUAGCUGGUCUGAGAGGAUGAUCAGCCACACUGGGAUUGAGACACGGCCCAGACUCCUACGGGAGGCAGCAGUGGGGAAUAUUGGACAAUGGGCGAAAGCCUGAUCCAGCAAUGCCGCGUGAGUGAUGAAGGCCCUAGGGUUGUAAAGCUCUUUUACCAGGGAUGAUAAUGACAGUACCUGGAGAAUAAGCUCCGGCUAAUC
rnacentral:rRNA from 1 species